CCUACAUGAAGUUGGAAUUGCUAGUAAUCGUGAAUCAGAUAUGUCACGGUGAAUAUGUUCCUGGGUCUUGUACUCACCGCCCGUCAAAGCAUGGAAGAUGUACCUACCGGAAGUCCCUUAAGUAAUAAGAGGGCCCAUGGUAGAGAUGUUGACUGGGCUUAAGUCGUAACAAGGUAUCCGUACGAGAACGUGCGGAUGGACUACCUCUUUU
rnacentral:rRNA from 1 species